rnacentral:misc_RNA from 1 species
GAUGGACAACGCUCUAUACAUCCCCCAGGCCCUUCAGCUAUUCAUUGAAAAUAAGAAAUGAUAAAACACCAAGAAAAUAUCAGGACCCAACAUGUGAUUUUAGAGGCAGUUUAUUUCCACUGCAGUACUGCACCACAAGAACAUGUGUAAGAACUAUAGAUUAUAUUUUUAUGUUUCAGUCAAAUGAGGAAACCAUAUGUUCUAAUAGGAAAUUCUAAAUGCCAUUAAAAUACAUAUAGGACUUCAUACAUAUUUAGGCGCUUUACUAUGUUUUUACAAGAUCAUAACUAAUAUUACUUGAAUUCCAGAUAGAUAGAGAUUCUAUACACACUUAUAUGCAGAUAUGUACUAGUGCAUAACUGAACUAAGU